rnacentral:rRNA from 1 species
GACGAACGCUGGCGGCGCGCUUAACACAUGCAAGUCGAACGGAAAGGCCUGCUUUCCCUUGUGGAUUGCGGGUACUCGAGUGGCGAACGGGUGGGUAACACGUGAGUGAUCUGCCCCCAACUUGGGUAUAAGCCUGGGAAACUGGGUCUAAUUCCAGAUAGGACUGCAGGGUGGUGCCUGUGGUGGAAAACGAUGUUCUAGUGGUUGGGGAUGAGCUCGCGGCCUAUCAGCUUGUUGGUGGGGUAAUGGCCUACCAAGGCGGCGACGGGUAGCCGGCCUGGGAGGGUGGACGGGCACAUUGGGACUGGGAUACGGCCCAGACUCCUACGGGAGGCAGCAGUGGGGGAUAUUGCACAAUGGGCGGAAGCCGGAUGCAGCGACGCCGCGUGGGGGAUGACGGCCUUCGGGUUGUAAACUCCUUUCGACCGCGAGGAAGCCACCUGGUUGGAAGGGUGGUGACGGUAGUGGUAGAAGAAGCCCCGGCUAACUACUG